rnacentral:rRNA from 1 species
CACGUAGGGUGCGAGCGUUGUCCGGAAUUAUUGGGCGUAAAGAGCUCGUAGGCGGCUUGUUGCGUCGGAUGUGAAAGCCCGGGGCUUAACCCCGGGUCUGCAUUCGAUACGGGCAGGCUAGAGUUCGGUAGGGGAGAUCGGAAUUCCUGGUGUAGCGGUGAAAUGCGCAGAUAUCAAGCGGAACACCGGUGGCGAAGGCGGCCUCUGGACAAUGACUGACGCUAAACACGAAAGCGUGGGGAGCAAACAGG